UUAACCUGAUUUGAAAUCAAAAAAAUCCUGAUUCUUCUUCCACAGAAGUUUCAUUUGUCAGUGUGGGACUGCUGAGUCACCUGAAGAAGUCAUUUCAUUCAUUCUCCACGAUGUUGAUUUACAGAAAUGUUUCACAGGAACUGAUUCCUCCCAAAGGGUGAACUAGUGUGUUUCCAUAGAUUAUCUCUGUAUGAAUGUACUUCUUAAAUGAAGGCAAGUGUUUGUCCUGUUUUGUUCCUCAGGUACAGUACGUGAUAUUAAGGGCAGGCGGUCAACACUGGGGGAAGACAAGAAGCAGACGUACUUCCAAGAGGGAGCUGCAGUGAGGACACAGCCUGGUCACUGAGGUCAGAGGAGGUGCUGAAAGGUUUCCCUAAUAGUUCCUGGUGAAUCAAAGCAGGACCAUAAAGGUUGCUGGACUGCAUGAUGGCCUUACCCCUGAGUAGUCAUCCUGUUAAAGGAGGAACCAGUUAGAAGCUGUUUUCAAAGUAGCUGAGCAGAUUUCAUCUCAAUAGAUCAAAGCAGCUCGUGCUCUGUCUGCUUCCAUUCUGAUGGCAAGAAGAAGAAGAAGGAGAAGAAUGCUUCAGCGAAGUGGCGUUCAUGGUCUCAGUGGACAGUCAUGGUCACACACUGCAUGUGGUUUUAAAAGCAACAUAUCUGUUCACCACAACAAUGGAGAUGUGUAAUAUUAGUG